UACGAAGGGAGCUAGCGUUGUUCGGAAUCACUGGGCGUAAAGCGCACGUAGGCGGAUGUGUCAGUCAGGGGUGAAAUCCCGGAGCUCAACUUCGGAACUGCCUUUGAUACAGCACGUCUUGAGUCCGAUAGAGGUGGGUGGAAUUCCUAGUGUAGAGGUGAAAUUCGUAGAUAUUAGGAAGAACACCGGUGGCGAAGGCGGCCCACUGGAUCGGUACUGACGCUGGGGUGCGAAAGCGUGGGGAGCGAACAGG
rnacentral:rRNA from 1 species